CCUAACACAUGCAAGUCGAGCGGAUGACAGGAGCUUGCUCCUGAAUUCAGCGGCGGACGGGUGAGUAAUGCCUAGGAAUCUGCCUGGUAGUGGGGGACAACGUUUCGAAAGGAACGCUAAUACCGCAUACGUCCUACGGGAGAAAGCAGGGGACCUUCGGGCCUUGCGCUAUCAGAUGAGCCUAGGUCGGAUUAGCUAGUUGGUGAGGUAAUGGCUCACCAAGGCGACGAUCCGUAACUGGUCUGAGAGGAUGAUCAGUCACACUGGAACUGAGACACGGUCCAGACUCCUACGGGAGGCAGCAGUGGGGAAUAUUGGACAAUGGGCGAAAGCCUGAUCCAGCCAUGCCGCGUGUGUGAAGAAGGUCUUCGGAUUGUAAAGCACUUUAAGUUGGGAGGAAGGGCAGUAAAUUAAUACUUUGCUGUUUUGACGUUACCGACAGAAUAAGCACCGGCUAACUCUGUGCCAGCAGCCGCGGUAAUACAGAGGGUGCAAGCGUUAAUCGGAAUUACUGGGCGUAA
rnacentral:rRNA from 1 species